rnacentral:rRNA from 1 species
AUUGAACGCUGGCGGCAGGCCUAACACAUGCAAGUCGAGCGAGCGGCGGACGGGUGAGUAAUGUCUGGGAAACUGCCUGAUGGAGGGGGAUAACUACUGGAAACGGUAGCUAAUACCGCAUACCAUCGGAUGUGCCAAGAUGGGAUGAGAUAGUAGGUGUGGUAAUGGCUCACCUAGGCGACGAUCCCUAGCUGGUCUGAGAGGAUGACCAGCCACACUGGGACUGAGACACGGUCCAGACUCCUACGGGAGGCAGCAGUGGGGAAUAGUGCACAAUGGGCGCAAGCCUGAUGCAGCCAUGCCGCGUGUAUGAAGAAGGACUUCGGGUUGUAAAGUACUUUCAGCGGGGAGGCGUUACCCUCAGAAGAAGCACCGGCUAACUCCGUGCCAGCCGCGGCGGUAAUAC